rnacentral:rRNA from 1 species
AUUGAACGCUGGCGGCAUGCUUUACACAUGCAAGUCGAACGGCAGCACAGGGAGCUUGCUCCUGGGUGGCGAGUGGCGAACGGGUGAGUAAUGUAUCGGAACGUGCCUGGUAGUGGGGGAUAACUACUCGAAAGAGUGGCUAAUACCGCAUGAGAUCUUUGGAUGAAAGCGGGGGACCUUCGGGCCUCGUGCUACUGGAGCGGCCGAUAUCAGAUUAGGUUGUUGGUGGGGUAAAGGCCUACCAAGCCUGCGAUCUGUAGCUGGUCUGAGAGGACGACCAGCCACACUGGGACUGAGACACGGCCCAGACUCCUACGGGAGGCAGCAGUGGGGAAUGUGGGACAAUGGGCGCAAGCCUGAUCCAGCAAUGCCGCGUGCAGGACGAAGGCCUUCGGGUUGUAAACUGCUUUUGUACAGAACGAAAAGUCUCUGGCUAAUAUCUAGAGAUCAUGACGGUACUGUAAGAAUAAGCACCGGCUAACUACGUG